rnacentral:rRNA from 1 species
GUACAGCCUCACUAAGGUGAAACCGCGAAUGGCUCAUUAAAUCACACCUAAUCUACUGGAUAGUUAACAGUUACUUGGAUAACUGCGGUAAUUCUGGAGCUAAUACAUGCACAAAGCCCCGAACUUACGUGAGGGGCGCUUUUAUUAGAUCAAAACCAAACGGCUUCGGCUGUUCUCUUGGUGACUCUGAAUAACUUUGGGCUGAUCGCAUAGCCUAGCGCUGGCGACAUAUCCUUCGAAGGUGUGCCCUAUCAACUGUCGACUGUGGCAUAGACGCCCACAGUGGUUUUGACGGGUAACGGGGAAUCAGGGUUCGAUUCCGGAGAGGGAGCCUUAAAAACGGCUACCACAUCUAAGGAAGGCAGCAGGCACGCAAAUUACCCAAUGACCGAAGGUCGAGGUAGUGACGAAAAAUAACGAUACGGGACUCAUCUGAGGCCCCGUAAUCGGAAUGAGUACACUUUAAAACCGUCCCCGAGGAUCUAUUGGAGGGCAAGUCUGGUGCCAGCAGCCGCGGUAAUUCCAGCUCCAAUAGCGUAUAUUAAAGUUGUUGUGGUUAAAAAGCUCGUAGUUGGAUCUCGGCGGUCUGAGGGCGGUUCACUUGCUAGUGCUACUGCCCUAUAGACCGUAGUUUUGCCAGAGGUCUCAGGGUGCUCUUAAUCGAGUGUCUUGUGAUGCUGGCAGGUUUACUUUGAAAAAAUUAGAGUGCUCAAAGCAGGCUUUUACGCCUGAAUAUUCGUGCAUGGAAUAAUAGAAUAGGAAGUCGUUUCUAUUUUGUUGGUUUUCGGAAAUCGACUUAAUGAUUAAUAGGGACAGUCGGGGGCAUUUGUAUUCAAACGACAGAGGUGAAAUUCUUGGACCGUUUGAAGACAAACUACUGCGAAAGCAUUUGCCAAGAAUGUUUUCAUUAAUCAAGAACGAAAGUUAGAGGUUCGAAGGCGAUUAGAUACCGCCCUAGUUCUAACCAUAAACGAUGCCAGCUAGCGAUCUGCCGACGUUUUUUUUGUAGACUCGGCAGGAAGCUUCCGGGAAACCAAAGCAUUUGGGUUCCAGGGGAAGUAUGGUUGCAAAGCUGAAACUUAAAGGAAUUGACGGAAGGGCACCACCAGGAGUGGAGCCUGUGGCUUAAUUUGACUCAACACGGGAAAUCUCACCAGGCCCGGACACUGGAAGGAUUGACAGAUUGAUAGCUCUUUCUUGAUUCGGUGGGUGGUGGUGCAUGGCCGUUCUUAGUUGGUGGAGUGAUUUGUCUGGUUAAUUCCGAUAACGAACGAGACUCUGUCCUGCUAAAUAGUGUCCGCCUCUCUUCUGGGCGGACAAUUCUUCUUAGAGGGACUGGCGACUCUCAGUCGCACGAGAUUGAGCAAUAACAGGUCUGUGAUGCCCUUAGAUGUUCUGGGCCGCACACGCGCUACACUGAAUAGAUCAACGUGUUCCCCCUGUCCGAGAGGACCGGGUAAACCGCUGAACCCUAUUCGUGGUAGGGAUCGGGGCUUGCAAUUGUUCCCCGUAAACCAGGAAUUCCCAGUAGGCGCAAGUCAUAAGCUUGUGUCGAUUACGUCCCUGCCCUUUGUACACACCGCCCGUCGCUACUACCGAUUGAACGUUUUAGUGAGGUCCUCGGACUGUUUGGUAGGCGGAUUGCUCUGCCUGCCUGGCGGGAAGACGACCAAACUGUAGCGUUUAGAGGAAGUAAAAGUCGUAACAAGGUUUCCGUAGUGACUGCGGAACCUUGUAAGAAUUUUUACUUCUUUUAAACGCUAAAGGUUGGAGUGUUUUCGAUAGGGAGAGCCGCCCCCAGAAGCCCAUAGGGUUGCACAAAGGGACCAAAGGGCGUCCCCAUACCAAGACCUAGAGGAAUCAGGGGGUUCCUCUCAAAAAAAAAAGAAUCAAAUUCCGGGGAACUUGGGACACACUGUCUUUUUUUGGGGCUUAAAGAUAAAGAGGGAACCCUUCUACUUUUCAUAGCCCUUUUAAAAUUUUUUAUCCUGAGAAUUAAAGAAUGCCCAUUGGGGUUGGGAUUUUCCGCAUCCGCCCGCGCCUCCUUCCCCACACCCUCUCUAA